AUCAUGCCUGUCCAUGUAAAGGUCAGGAAUUCCCCUUCCCAUCUUGACUGCUGUUCCCGUGCACAAAAAAACCCUUAGUUUAAACCAGCCUAUAAGCAGAGAGUGUUGCCCACUAUAGUCUGUCUAUAAAAACUCUGUAACACCUUUGUUAGGGGCUCAGAGCUUGGAGGGUUAACUCCUCUGGGACGGCUGGUGUAAUAAACCUGUUUUCCAACUCUCUGAGUGUGGUGCUUGGAUUCUCGAUUACUGGUUUCUGCAACAUUUCUGGAGGCUCCAGCAAGAUUCCAACCACACCAGCCCCUUGAGCCGCCAGAAAGGUGGCUUGGCCAGGCUGAAGCAAAGGAAUCCUGAGAUGAAUGAGGAGGCGUGCCACCUGAUGGUAUUCCGGGUUCUCUUUCACACUGGUGUUCCAACUUUCUGGAUGGCCGAAUCCUGACUAGACUCUUUGGAGGAAUGGACCAACCCACCAGGAGUGGCCACAGGAUCAGAUAUGGGAAGAAGCAACAAGAGGAAAUAUUUUCCUGGUCCAAGAGGCUAGUAAGACAGGUAUGGUCCAGAGACUUCUGCUACUUACAAGUUACAGGUGUCAUCCCUUGGAUCCACCACACCAGAGUCAAGAAGGCAGCAGCUUCCUGUGAUGAGGACACCUGGAAAGCAGUUCGGGACCCCAAAGACCUCCUCAAGGACCAACAAGACUCCCUGGCUGAGGUGGUUUUAUAGAAUAGGAGAUGUCUAGAUCUACUGACAGCUGAAAAGAGAGGACUACGCCCCUUCUUAAAUGAAGAGUGCUGCUUGUAUGUAAACCAAUCAGAAAUAGUCAGGGACAUGGCCCAACAGCUAAGGGAACCAAUCAUAAAAAGGAGAGAGAAACGAGCUAAUUCCUGGGGUAACUGGAACAAUAUCUGGAGCUGGGCAUCUUGGCUUCUCGAUUUAACAGGGCCUCUCCUCAUGCUCUUUGCAGUGCUCUUGUUGGGCCCUUGUAUUCUCAAUGCAAUUACCCAGUUUAUAACCUCUCAGAUUGAAUCCAUAAAGUUACAAAUGGUAAUAGCUCAAUAUAGCCCCCUAAAUGAUGGGGACCUCUGAAUGUCCUACAAAAACAUGAGAUGAUGCUUUCUACAAUGAAUAAUAGAAGCAUCAAGAGGGGCGAAUGAAGAGGAAAAGUUAAAAUUUUACAUAACCUCCUGCUCCUUCUGCCUCCAUGACUCAGCUUGCUCCUUGCAAGGUCUGGAUCAUGUAGGUCACGUAGUCUCAGAAAGCGCGGACUUACAGUACUAGGAACUGGAGCUUAUCUCACUCACCCUUGCCCUGCUCUUUGCAACUGCCCAGCCCCUGCAAACCUGCUUAAUCAGGCCUGUCCAUGUAAAGGUCAGGCAUUCCCCUUCUCAUCUUGACUGCUGUUCCGUGCGCAAAAACCCCUUAGUUUAAACCAGCCUAUUAGCAGCUAGUCUUGCCCACUAUAGUCUGUCUAUUAAAACUCCACCC
ensembl:lncRNA